GACGAACGCUGGCGGCGUGCUUAACACAUGCAAGUCGAACGGAAAGGCCCUGCUUUUGUGGGUUUCUCGAUUGGCGAAGGGGGGGUAACAACGUGAUUAUCCUCCCCUUACCUUUGGGUUAUCUUCGGGAAACUGGGGCUAUUCCCGCAUAGGAGCUCUUGCGCCUUGUUGGUGGUUGAAAAUUUUCGGCGGUUGGGGAUGUCCUGGCGGGUUACCAGCUGGUUGGGGGGGUUGUGGCUUACCAAGGUUUCGACGGGUAGCCGGCCUGAGAGGGUGACGGGCCACAUUGGGACUGAGAUACGGCACAGACUCCUACGGGAGGCAGCAGUGGGGAAUAUUGCACAAUGAGCGGAAGCCUGAUGAAGAAACGCCGCGUGCGGGAUGACGGCCUUAGGGUUGUAAACCGCUUUCGCCUGUGACGAAGCGUGAGUGAAGGUAAUGGGUAAAGAAGCACCGGCUAACUACGUG
rnacentral:rRNA from 1 species